GCCAAGAAGCAGGCUGGGGAAGUGGCCAGAAGGCAGCAAGGAGGGACGCCCAGGGGGCCCAGCUAGGGCACGCUGACCCGCCAGCUCUGGGCACCGUCCAGUGUGAAGGAUGGGUCAGUCCCCACUUCUCUGUAUUGUUCCCUGCAGCUUGACUAUGAGGUGUCCCCUGAGGGCGGCUGUGUGACACCACGCAGGGAUGUGCAGAGGUGACCCGACCAGGACAGCUGUGACCUGAUCCGACCUUUAAUCCAUUAGCUUUCCUCCCACACCCUUCCUUCCACCAUGAUGCUCUCCUGACCUCGGGCCUGACCUUGGCGCCGGCCAACCGUGGACUGAACCUCUGAAACUGGGAACAUGAUCAACUUCCCUCUUCUGGGCUGGGGAUGUGGCUCAAGCGGUAGCGCGUUCGCCUGGCAUGCGUACGGCCCGGGUUCGAUCCUCAGCACCACAUACAAACAAAGAUGUUGUG